UGCACUACGGAGGAGAAAGAGCGAGCGCGCUGAGGCACCGCGGGCCUAAACAACGAACAGAACCAACAAGCCAAGUUUCGUGACUGACAGUAAACUUGACUUAAACAAGCUUCCCUGCUGAGGAGAGUGACGCUGGGUCUCGGCGAGUUUCACUUCCGUCGCUCCCUCCAGGGGACCCCUGUGCGCAAGGCACGGUCCAAGCGUUGGCCUCCGGGGGGCGGAGCCUGGAGGCGGCGGGCACUGCAAUUGGUGGCUUUGAAGGCGCGGCGGGCGGGAACUGCCGCUGAGGAGUGAGGUGGCUGGAGAUGUGGGCCGUGCCAAAGAGAUGGAUGAGACUGUUGCCAAGUUUAUCAAGAGGACCAUCUUGAAAAUCCCCAUGACUGAAAUGACAACAGUCCUAAAAGCCUGGGAUUUUUUUGUCUGAAAAUCAACUGCAGACUGUAAAUUUCCGGCAGAGAAAGGAAUCUGUGGUUCAGCACUUAGUUGAGCUCUGUGAGUAGGCAACUCACAACCUGAAGGCCCUACUGACACUGCCCUUCUAUAACGGGGUGCAAGGUAACAUCACCUCUUCGAAACCUAAUGGUAGUUCUGAAGCUAUCUUCUAGGCCCUGCAUUCCGGUGGAUUAACUGGCCCACCCAGACCAACAGCCCAUACCAAGAAACCAACUCAACUGGAAUUGUGACCCCAGGGACCGAAACAACGCAAGAAGAUGAUUUCUACAUCCCUAGGAGUUUGCCCCAA